UGAACUGCUGUGCUCUUCCAGCACCAUUGAUCCAGAAUCUGGUUUCCAGCAUCUGCAGUCAUUGUUUUUACCUUUCGCAACAGUUGACUGUCACAGACUAGCAUGGCACUUAAACCUUUGCUGUGCCAUAGUUGAUCAUGUGAUACCUGUUCCUGGCUUUAUACAUCCAGCGUCCAAUUUCAAUCGGCUGGAGGAUGCGCCUGGCGAACAUAGGGAAGUUCCCGGUUCAAACUUUGGCAUGUGCUGAAUUCUGCUGGGGUUGUGUUCUGCUGGGAAUGCUGCGUGUAGUCUAGAGCAUUGCCCGAGAAAUUUUAAAUUGAAUGACAGUGAGGACAUCCCACGUAUCGAAGUCAGUGAUAACUGUGACCCCAUCACACUCAGGACAGUUCCAGAGGCGUGCCUUAAGAAAAUUAAAGAAGGCCUGUCAUAUUACCGCAAUCAGUUCAGCCAACUUGGAAACGUGGAAGAGUCAAUGCACAACAGCGACAUGCGGAAAUUUGCGUAUAAUCUUUCUAAAAUCAUCUUGGAUCUCCUCAAGUCAAUCAAGAACUCGGACAGCAGCGCAGAUGACAGGACCAUAGACAGAGUUGCUGCGGAUAAUAGGCCUGUCAAGAUACACAAGAUCAGAGAUUGGGAGCUGAACUGUACAUUGUUUAGAACACUUGAGAGAUUUCAGUCCUUCUCAUCUCUGGUGGCUCGUGUCUUUGGACAUCCUUCAGGAAACCCUUCGGAACAUCAGAACACUGGGGAUUGUGGGGUAUAGUUCAGAGAGUUGAUGGACAUUCCAGAAAAUUGUUAUUAUCUUCAGAAGAUAAUUCCAGAGAUUAAUGUUUUUGAGAGGUGGAAGUUUUAUGAAAAAGUGGUUUGAGGCUUGGCUGGAUAAAAUGAAGUGGUGUUACACCAAUGCUAGUGACUAUCACAAUAGCUAAAGGAUUUUAGAUUUCUAAAUCAAAAGGGAUUUCUACGGGUUGUUCUGGAAUAGUUCAGCUUCAUCACCUUGUCAAAAAAAUGUUUUUGUCCUCACUGUUUUCUAACUUAUUAGUUUGAUUUUGGAAGGUAAUUAAUUAAAAGGUUUUUAAAAAUCUGCAAGAAAUUUUGCUUUGACCUCUGGAAAUAUGACACUUUCCAUAUAUUAAUCUCACAGCUGCAAAGCAUGUGCAUUUUUUACUUUCUUCAUUAAGUUCCUUUAACAUUUGAAACUUUGUAGUGAACAAACUGUAAUAAAGCUCACCUUACACAUCA